UCCUAGGUGGCAUUAGAGAAACUCAAAGGA
rnacentral:piRNA from 1 species